AGAGAGAGAGAGAGAGAGAGAAGACACUAGGAUCUUCCAUGGUUUGGCAUUGUGCCUACAUUCACUGAGAACCACCUGCUUUUUAUCUAUAAAGGAGAAAAAGGUUAGAAUUGCUUAUGUAGAGUAAGGUUUUCCCUUUAUGCUAGAAAUAGGAUAAAUAAAAAAUUAUAAGCACUUCUCCCUCUCUCCUUUCUGUUGGGACCUUAAUGUACAAUAUCUCCUCCUGAAUAUGAGCCAUAAUUUCAAUUGUUGCAUUCUGUGAUACUAGGAUCUUAUUUUAUUGGAACUGUAACUGAUGAAUGGCUGCCUUUUAUUCUCUCUCUCUCUCUCAUGAGUAGAAAAAAGCACUGAAGGUUUGCUAAGGAGGUGAAACCAAGUACAAAGAGGAAUUUAUUUUCAUCCAUGGGAAUCAAUAAAAUCUAUGCUUUCUUUUCUUUUUGUUUUUAGUGCAAUAAUUUACCUGUAUGUUUGUGAUAAUAUGCAGUUUUAUUUUGGUACUUUCCCAGUUUUAGAGUUGCUAAUAUGGUUCCCUAAAUCACUGAUCUCUUUUGUGUAUAGUUCCUUGGGCUCCUGGCGGUAG
rnacentral:misc_RNA from 1 species